rnacentral:lncRNA from 1 species
GAAAUUAUGGAUUUUAGUAGGUUAAAUGGAGAGAUCUAAAGUUGUGGUGGACAAUUUUUUUUUUUUUUUUGAGAGAUAAAUAGCACGCUACUCAUUUCGUUUAUUUUAUUUAAAAAUAAACUUAGCUGAAAAUAUGAAUCAACUAGAAUUCGAACUUGAGACCUCGGGUACCAACCACCAAGCCCUUUGCCACUUGCUCUAGGAACGGUCGAUUUGUGGUUGACAUUGUUACAAAACAUAGGACC